rnacentral:lncRNA from 10 species
CCUGGGCACUCCAGGGAGCCGGUGGCGCCCUCGCUCGAGAAGGAGUCGGGAAGAGGAGAGUGGCUUUCGGGAAGAGGAGAGUGGCUUUCGGGAAGCAUCUCCUCUGAGGAAGAGGCGGCGGCGGCGGCGGCAUUUACGGAGAGAAAAACUCCAACUACAGGCACCGAAAGGUAUUUUACCUUCUGUCAAAGGUUCAAAGAAGGAAAACAUAACCAUAUACAGGCGUAUCUGUAACAGCUUGCCAAAUAAAACCUGCCUUCUCCUACCAGAACCAACCCUCAGGGUUCAGGUCUUUGGCAAGGAUUGGGCACUCGGAUUCCUCAAUUGCUGCACUAUGGGGCAAAUAAUUGGGGACUUUGAGUCGCCCAGGCGGCAUCCUUACAAAUUGCACAGCUCCAGCCCGCCCCCUGCCUCCACGGCCCGACCAAGCCCGCUGGGCUGCCGCUGCCCCCAUGACCGCUGGGCCCGACGCGCAGCGCGCGCUGAAUGGAGACAUCCCCGGCCCUCGGGUCGCGCGCCGCACGCCGCGCUUCACCUCCGCGGCGUUAUUGUUCCGUGCUGGCGGCCGAGCGCCAACCGCAGGACCGCGCCGCCGCCUCCGACGCAGUGAGCACUUCAUUAGUAACCCGAGCUUUCCGAGCUCAUCGAAGUCUCGGUCCCUCUGGGAAGGCUCCGGGCUCCCGCCACUCGCCGGCGGGCUGGCGGAGACGGUAGGGGCUGCAUUUCCCAGUCUCCAACCCAACUCUGGCCGCAGCUCCCACAGAAGGCGAAUAAGGAGACAAGGAAGACCGAGCUAGAGAGAGAUGUGACCCGCCUGAGGUACUAAGAAAUAAGCUCGCCGGCAGUUCCUCCAACCCCACCCCACCCCCGUUGCUGCUCACGCCCUCCAGACUGCCCGCGCCAGAAAUCCCGCACCCGUCGGAUGGACGGCUCCGGGCACAGGGCUGUAGGCGGCUCGGAACA